AUUGAACGCUGGCGGCAGGCUUAACACAUGCAAGUCGAGCGGGGUGAUGGUGCUUGCACUAUCACUUAGCGGCGGACGGGUGAGUAAUGCUUAGGAAUCUGCCUAUUAGUGGGGGACAACAUCUCGAAAGGGAUGCUAAUACCGCAUACGUCCUACGGGAGAAAGCAGGGGAUCGCUUGUGACCUUGCGCUAAUAGAUGAGCCUAAGUCGGAUUAGCUAGUUGGGGGGUAAAGGCCUACCAAGGCGACGAUCUGUAGCGGGUCUGAGAGGAUGCUCAGCCACACUGGGACUGCGACGCGGCCCAGGUUCCAACGGGCAGCGGCAGUGGGGAAUGUUGAUCAAUGGGGGGGACCCUAAGCCAGCCAUGCCGCGUGUGUGAAGCAGGCCUUAUGGUUGUAAAGCACUUUAGGCGGGGAGGGGGCUCUUUUGGUUAAUACCCAAGAUGAGUGGACGUUACUCGCAGAAUAAGCACCGACUAACUCUGUGCCAGCCGCCUCAGUAA
rnacentral:rRNA from 1 species